rnacentral:rRNA from 1 species
GAUGAACGCUGGCGGCGUGCCUAAUACAUGCAAGUCGAACGGGGAGUACUAAUUCGGGUUUUUACUCCUAGUGGCGAACGGGUGAGUAACGCGUUGGUGACCUGCCCCGAAGCGGGGGAUAACAGUCCGAAAGGGCUGCUAAUACCCCAUGUGGUCGUACAGGUUAGAGGCUGAACGACUAAAGGAGCAAUCCACUUCGGGAGGGGCCUGCGUCCCAUCAGCUAGUUGGUAAGGUAACGGCCUACCAAGGCGAUGACGGGUAGGGGACCUGAGAGGGUGGUCCCCCACACUGGCACUGAAACACGGGCCAGACACCUACGGGUGGCAGCAGUAGGGAAUAUUGCACAAUGGGCGAAAGCCUGAUGCAGCAACGCCGCGUGCGCGAAGAAGGCCUUCGGGUUGUAAAGCGCUUUUCUGGAGGAAGAGGAAGGACGGUACUCCAGGAAUAAGGAUCGGCUAACUACGUG